AUUGAACGCUGGCGGCAGGCCUAACACAUGCAAGUCGAAUGGUAACAGGAAACAGCUUGCUGUUUCGCUGACGAGUGGCGGACGGGUGAGUAAUGUCUGGGAAACUGCCUGAUGGAGGGGGAUAACUACUGGAAACGGUAGCUAAUACCGCAUAACGUCGCAAGACCAAAGAGGGGGACCUUCGGGCCUCUUGCCAUCAGAUGUGCCCAGAUGGGAUUAGCUAGUAGGUGGGGUAACGGCUCACCUAGGCGACGAUCCCUAGCUGGUCUGAGAGGAUGACCAGCCACACUGGAACUGACACACGGUCCAGACUCCUACGGGAGGCAGCAGUGGGGAAUAUUGCACAAUGGGCGCAAGCCUGAUGCAGCCAUGCCGCGUGUAUGAAGAAGGCCUUCGGGUUGUAAAGUACUUUCAGCGGGGAGGAAGGGAGUAAAGUUAAUACCUUUGCUCAUUGACGUUACCCGCAGAAGAAGCACCGGCUAACUCCGUG
rnacentral:rRNA from 1 species